UUACGCAUGUGACGCAUGCUUGGCCGCCCGUCGUUAUCACUGUGAAGAAAACAGCGUGUUCAAGGCAGCCGCAAGCGGUUGUAUGACAAAGCAUGGAAUGACAAAGCAUCGACCAGUGGUCGUCGUAUCUUUUGUCGGUUUUUACGAUCCAUUUGGAUAAUUUGUGGUCAGAGUAUUUCGUUCACCAUUCGUGGUAGCGGAACUUUGGCGAACACGGGAUUAAUGGGGGUUGUCGGGGGAAAACGUAUCUGAGCGUGAGAGGUGAAAUUCUUAGACCGCUCGGGGACGAACUUAUGCGAAGGCAUUUUCCAAGUAUACCUUCAUCAAUCAAGAACUAAAGUGUGGAGAUCGAAGAUGAUUAGAUACCAUUGUAGUCCACUACUGCAAACGAUGACGCCCAUGGAUCGGAUAGUUUUUUGCUCCGAUGGGAUCUUUUCGGCACUGCUCCCCCUUCAACGCGAAAGCUGAGGCUAUGGUCUCAUGGGGGAGUACGUUCGCAAGGCUGAAACUUAAAGAAAUUGACGGAAUGGCACCACCAGGCGUGGAGUGUGCGGUUUAAUUUGACUCAACACGGGGAACCUUACCAGGACAGGACAACGCA
rnacentral:rRNA from 1 species